CCUCCCCUCCCACGCUGCCUCCUCAACUCUUUCUCCUCGCCGGUUCCUGUUGUCGGUUCAUAUCUCCGGCAUUUAUCCCUCCCCUCCCACGCUUCCUCCUUGACGCUGCCCCGUCGCUGGUUUCCUUCGCCGAUUCAGGUUUACGGUGUUGAGAAGUUUGGAAGGACUGCAGAAGGGGAUUCUUGGUGGAAAACAUGGAGAAAAGUUCUUCACCAAGAUGAGUGGAGUAACCUAGGGUUUAGAAGUGCACAAAAACAAGCAUAAUCAGGAACAGAGAAAGCUGGGUGUUAUGAAAAUUAGGUGAGGCUUUCUUUGGGAAAUAUGCUUACCAUAAUGAUCUAGUUAUAUUCAUUGGUACAAAGAGAAAUUGUGGACUCAGAGCAGCUACCAAGCAUCCUAUAUACGAAAAUUUUCGUGUCAAGAUUUGCUGCUACAACAUUAUUGGAGGGACGAGUCUGCAAGUGGACCACAAACUAGAAGAGAUGGAUGGAAAUUUCAAUGAUGAGCGCGAGAAGUGAAUGAAAUUAAACUAGAACAGGAUGUGAAGAUUCUAAAUGAGAGGAUGGACAGGUUCAUGUCCCAUCAACAGUCCCAUGACUCGAGUCAUUCUGUUGUUUAGUCUCGUAGUUUUAAUUUUGAAAAAUUAUGAGUUUGGCCUGCAGUUUGUAAUUCACUAUCAACUAUAUUCUAAAGUCACGAGGACAUCGAACUUCAUGUAAUUUGUAACACUUAUUAGUAUGUCUACAAAGAAUUGUUUUAUUUA